GAUGAAGAACGUAGCGAAAUGCGAUAAGUAAUGUGAAUUGCAGAAUUCAGUGAAUCAUCGAGUCUUUGAACGCACAUUGCGCCCCCUGGUAUUCCGGGGGGCAUGCCUGUCCGAGCGUCAUUGCUGCCCUCAAGCACGGCUUGUGUGUUGGGCCCCCGCCCCCCGGCUUCGGGGGGCGGGCCCGAAAGGCAGCGGCGGCACCGCGUCCGGUCCUCGAGCGUAUGGGGCUUCGUCACCCGCUCUGUAGGCCCGGCCGGCGCCCGCCGGCGACCCCAAUCAAUCUUUCCAGGUUGACCUCGGAUCAGGUAGGGAUACCCGCUGAACUUAAGCAUAUCAAUAAGCGGAGA
rnacentral:misc_RNA from 1 species